UUGAGUCAGAGCCUGAAAGGACUAUAAAGGCUAGCCCCAGCCCCACGGUUCUCACUUCUGCUGGGUUAUUUUAGUUGUUCUGGAUUUUGUGACUCGGAUAUUCUUUAAUAAUAUCUAUAUAGAAAUAUGGACUACAUGGUCAAAGAAAAUCUUUUAAAAUAUUUCACCGAGUAUGCUUUGAAGGAGGGUAGUAUGAGCGCACUGUCCAUUGGUGGAUUAAAAAGCUUGCUUCAAAAUCAAUUUGCAGAAUAUCUGAAGGGGGCAUUCUCUCUUGAUAAUAUAAUUAAAUCAUUUGACACAAAUAAAGAUGGCAAAGUCACCUUUGACGAAUUUGUGGCCCUUAUAACAAGGAUAACUACUUCAGGCCACUGAGGCAUCAGCAAGUAAGAGGAAGACAAUCAUAUACUACCAAAAGGAGCAGACAAAAAACCCGGAGUUCUUACAAAGUAUCUAUAUUUAAAACCACAGAUCUACUUCUUGUGAUAACUAACCAUCAAAAAAUAAAGAUUUCUUUACCAUAAAAAG